AAAUGCACCAAAAUUAGGCAGAUGUUGAUAAACAGUGAAGAGAAUUCAAUAAAUAACAAUGUAUUUAUUGACUACUAACAAAUUAUGUAUUAAAAAAAAAAACAUAUUUGAAGAGAGAAAAUAAAUAAACAUCAAUAAAAAAUAAAAUACCAAAGUACAUCUUGCGUUACAAAGUGUAAAAAGUCCACAUCUCUGACUUCAUUCUGUGUCUUUCUUUCAGGAGAAACAUCUGAGGAGCAGGUGACGUCCUCAACCAGAAACAACUGAUUUGUGAUUUUAUUUUCAGGAUGCUCUUGGCCUUCUCCCGGAGGAUUGUGGGUAGAUUGCCGACGAUCCCGAGAAGAAGCGAGCGAAGUGAGACCCUUCAAACUUUCUUUGCCAUUCCUCAAUUCUGUUUUCCCCCAAACAAAGAUUUAUACAUAUUUAUAUGAGCCGAUUGACGGGAAGGUGGUCCGGAGGAGGGGAGCAGAAGCGGCGGAACUGCAGAGAAUCGUCCUUCAGCGACUGUCCCGCUCAGUUUGUUUGGAGUCGAACUGUCGCCCAUCUCACGCUGUGAGUGAGUGUGUCUUUCCAAUUUUCAUCAUGUGA
ensembl:lncRNA